CAAAAAACAAAAAAAAACUCUUGAAAACGCUGUCGUCAUAGGACCGCUUUGCCGCAUUUUCGAGGCAAACUAUCCCAUUUCUACUCUUAAGCACUCGCUGUGGAGGUGGGAAGUCCGCGUGUUAAAAAAGAUGAAGAUUUUCCAUGUCCCUUGCUUGGAAGAUAACUUUGCCUAUCUGUAAGUGGAUUUUAUUUGAUAGAUCAUAAUUUUUUGAUUUCGAUUUUCCAAUUAUAGUAAUUUUUAUCACAGGAUCAUCGAUGAGAGCACUCAAGAAGCAGCGGUGGUGGAUCCCGUCGAGCCCAAUAAGAUUCUUCAAGCUGCCAAUCAGCACCACCUCAAUCUCAAGUUUGUUCUCACCACUCAUCAUCACUGGGAUCAUGCAGGGGGAAAUGAGAAGAUGAAGCAGCUGGUGCCUGGGCUUCAGGUCUAUGGUGGUUCCGUUGACAACGUAAAGGGUUGUACCCAUCAAUUAGACAACGGUGAUAAGUUGCAACUGGGGUCUUAUGUUAAUAUUUUGGCUCUUCACACUCCUUGGUAUGCUUUUUAUAAUCUUACUCGUGCAAGCUUUGCCUUUCCUUGAUUAUUAUCUUGUUAUCUUUUUCACUUUAACACUCCUCUGCCGAUUAGUUGUAUUCCAAGAUCUAAUUUUUAUGCGUUUGCCGUAAUUUCUCUUCUACAUCCUUACUUAAAAUGAGGGCCUUUUCUAAAAAUUACCUUUAGUAGUGAUAUAGCUUGAGGAACAAAAACCGGUAGUUGGAGUUUUUCACUUGCAUAAUACGCACGAAAAUGGUUACUGAAAUCUAGGGAUCCAUUUUAUGAAUUUGAACUUGUAUUUGAUCAGUGGACAUCAAACAUGGGCUGAGUACUCCUCUUGCACGUGAAUAUAUGUCAAACUGUGAAGGCUUCUGAAAAAAAAUUCUUGUUUAUUUGAUUACAAUUUCUAACUUGUUUCAUAAUAUCUUUGUCGCCCAUGAUAUUAACAAUUUGAUUGUAAUUUGAUUAUUUAUUAAUUUUUAUUGUUCUUCCUUUUAUCCAACUUUCUAUUGGUAGUCACACCAAAGGCCACAUCAGUUAUUAUGUGACAGGCAAGGACGGAGAGGAUCCAGCAGUUUUCACUGGUGACACUCUAUUUAUUGCUGGUUGUGGGAAAUUUUUUGAAGGCACAGCAGAACAGAUGUAUCAAUCGCUUUGUCAAACAUUGGGUUCAUUGCCAAAGCCUACUCAAGUCUAUUGUGGUCACGAGUACACUGUCAAGAACUUGCAGUUUGCUCUGACAGUUGAACCGGACAAUGUAAAGACACAGCAGAAACUAUCAUGGGCUCAGCAACAGCGGCAAGCAGGGCUCCCCACCAUUCCCUCAACUAUUGAGGAAGAGUGGGAGACGAAUCCAUUCAUGCGGGUGGAUCUUCCAGAUCUUCAGGCAAGGGUGGGUGGCAAGUCUCCUGUAGAAACUCUUCGCAAGAUAAGGCAGUUGAAGGACAACUGGAGAGGCUAGAUCAAUAUGCUUCAUUUUCUUUUUUCUUACUGAGUGCCUGCAGAAAAUAAAAGUUUGUAGCUGCAUAAAAUUUGGAUUAUGGCAAUGUGUUGCUUGGAUUUUAGUCUUGAGUUGAUAUGUAUUCUGCCAGUACUGCUUGAAUAGGAGUUGGUAACUUGCCUGCAGUUUCUUUCAUGUUUUUCUCAUGGAGUGACUUGACCUUGAAUACUUUUCCCCACUCUCUCUUAUUUUCCCUGCGUCUCAGAGGUCAACAUAUCAUGUGUUUGUUGGUGCUAGUUUCUCAGCUCACCCCAUUUUGAAACCUGCCUCAAUUCUUGCUUUGGGAUGAUGAAAUUUGGAUACCAGAAUCUGAUGUAUCAAUCUAAGUUGGUUCCAGUUGCGGGUUUAAGACCACUAAACAGAAAUUUAGUGUUGAGGGUAAAAUUUUCAAGCCCACAGUCGGAACACAACAGUAAAGUUUUGUUGAAAUUUUAUCGGCCUUUAGUCGGAGAGGAUAUGCUGGUGAGUUUUGGAUGGUAAAUAUUUUGUAAUUGUCAGUCAUUUGGUUGUUACGGCGCAUUAUGCAGGAUAAUUAUUAUUGAUAUCAUUGAAUUAAAAAAUAUGGCUA
rnacentral:misc_RNA from 1 species